rnacentral:rRNA from 1 species
GACGAACGCUGGCGGCGUGCUUAACACAUGCAAGUCGAACGGAAAGGCCCUGCUUUUGUGGGGUGCUCGAGUGGCGAACGGGUGAGUAACACGUGAGUAACCUGCCCUUGACUUUGGGAUAACUUCAGGAAACUGGGGAUAAUACCGGAUAGGAGCUCCUGCUGCAUGGUGGGGGUUGGAAAGUUUCGGCGGUUGGGGAUGGACUCGAGGCUUAUCAGCUUGUUGGUGGGGUAGUGGCUUACCAAGGCUUUGAAGGGUAGCCGGCCUGAGAGGGUGACCGGCCACGUUGGGGCUGAUAUACGGCCCAGUCUCCUACGGGAGGCAGCAGUGUGGAAUAUGGCGUAAUGGUCGGAAGCCUGAUUCAGCAACGCCGCGUGCGUGUUGACGGCCUUCGGGUUGUAAACCGCUUUCGCCUUUGACGAAUCGUGAGUGACGGUAAUUGGUAAUGAAGCACCGGCUAAGUACAUG